ACUGAGUUACUCCGUGUACUAGUACAUCUGAGAGGGGAAAGUUUAACCCUCGGUGGCAUCUGAAGAUACUUCAGGUUCCUCCAUCCUCUGCGCGUGUGUGUGUGUGUCGCUGUGUCAGCGCCGCCGUGUGUGCACCUCGUGUCACGCACUUCUUACCUUGUGACGGGCAGAUAACCCUCAUCACGUGAUCGAUCAGUCACCGCAGGAUCUUGCUGAUAACUUGUCACUUCUGUCCUCAGCGUCGUUCUUCUCUCCUUCGUUGGCAAUCUCUUGUCUUCAUGGCAUCCGGCAGCUCGGGUCAAAGGGCAGACAACUGUAGCAUGUGUUUGGCGGUCAUUCACGGGGAGAGAACCCAAGCGGCUUGCCUUGCUCUCACACCUUUUGCCUGCCGUGUCUCAGAGAUCUUCAGCGUGCCGCCAUGCAGCAACUUUCACUGAAAGUGAAAACCAGAGCCGAUGAUGUGGAUGAUACAGGAGGAAACAAAUACACCUUGACAUUUCCCUGCCCGGCGUGUCAUCGAGUCAUCAGUGUGCCCUUCGGGGGGUCUCCAAACUACAGACAGAUCACUUCAUUGGUCACGAUGACCGACACCUUCCCACGUCCAGACAACUGAGCUGUGAAGGUUGCAUGCAGGCUUACAAGGCUAGGUUCUCCUUCCCUGACUGUGGCAAGAACGUGUAUCACUGGUGUCUUCGAUACUAUCAGUAUCAUGAGAGUGAGGACUCGGACCUGUAGUAGUCCGGAACGUCCUUGACACAGUAUCAACCAUGCGUGUCAAGAAAUGCACGUGUCAACCAACGGGAUGAACGUGAGCGGCAAUAAUCUCCGUCUUCACAAGCAUAAGAUAACCAAACAUGUCUUUAAACUAACAACAAACAACAAAAGCUGCCAUGUUGGUGGUGGUAGGGACAGCUACAACUGUUUGUGACUAAAUGUUACCGUCACGUGAUCACUAGCAUGUCUGUUGCUAUAAAAGUUUGAAGAUGAACUCGCACAGUGGUUUCCACAACAGUGGCAACACUUUAAAAGUAACCAAGACCUCUCCACCAACAGGUCACUCUGAUCCCACAGAGCUGGCUCUUCUGAUCUCACAGUUUCUUUUUGUCUGGCCACAGAC